AUACAGAGGGUGCAAGCGUUAUUCGGAAUUACUGGGCGUAAAGCGCGCGUAGGCGGAUGAUUAAGUCAGUUGUGAAAGCCCUGGGCUCAACCUAGGAACUGCAUCUGAUACUGGGCGUCUAGAGUUUAAGAGAGGGAAGUGGAAUUCCAGGUGUAGCAGUGAAAUGCGUAGAUAUCUGGAGGAACAUCAGUGGCGAAGGCGACUUCCUGGCUUAAAACUGACGCUGAGGUGCGAAAGCGUGGGUAGCGAACGGGAUUAGAAACCCUAGUAGUCC
rnacentral:rRNA from 1 species